rnacentral:rRNA from 1 species
CCUACGGGAGGCAGCAGUGAGGAAUAUUGGUCAAUGGGCGCAAGCCUGAACCAGCCAAGUCGCGUGAAGGAUGAAGGUUCUAUGGGUGGUAAACUUCGUUUAUGAGGGAAUAAAGUGCGGUACGUAUCCUGUUUUCCAUGUACCUUAUGAAUAAGGAUCGGCUAACUCCGUGCCAGCAGCCGCGGUAAUACGGAGGUUCCGAGCGUUAUCCGGAUUUAUUGGGUUUAAAGGGUGCGUAGGCGGGAUGUUAAGUCAGAUGUGAAAGUUUGUGGCUCAACCCUAAAAUUGCAGUUGAAACUGGGAGGCUUGAGUAUAGUAGAGGCAGGCGGAAUUCGUGGUGUAGCGGUGAAAUGCUUAGAUAUCACGAAGAACACCGAUGGCGAAGGCAGCCUGCUGGACUGUGACUGACGCUGAUGCACGAAAGCGUGGGGAUCAAACAGGAUUAGAUACCCCAGUAGUC